rnacentral:tRNA from 1 species
AAAGUCUUAGCUUAAUUAAAGUAUCUGGGUUGCAUUCAGAAGAUGUUGGAUAGUGUCUUGCAGAUUUUA